UGGGGAAUUUUGGACAAUGGGGGAAACCCUGAUCCAGCCAUCCCGCGUGUGCGAUGAAGGCCUUCGGGUUGUAAAGCACUUUUGGCAGGAAAGAAACGUCGCGGGUUAAUACCCCGCGAAACUGACGGUACCUGCAGAAUAAGCACCGGCUAACUACGUGCCAGCAGCCGCGGUAAUACGUAGGGUGCAAGCGUUAAUCGGAAUUACUGGGCGUAAAGCGUGCGCAGGCGGUUCGGAAAGAAAGAUGUGAAAUCCCAGAGCUUAACUUUGGAACUGCAUUUUUAACUACCGGGCUAGAGUGUGUCAGAGGGAGGUGGAAUUCCGCGUGUAGCAGUGAAAUGCGUAGAUAUGCGGAGGAACACCGAUGGCGAAGGCAGCCUCCUGGGAUAACACUGACGCUCAUGCACGAAAGCGUGGGGAGCAAACAGGAUUAGAUACCCUGGUAGUCCACGCCCUAAACGAUGUCAACUAGCUGUUGGGGGCCUUCGGGCCUUGGUAGCGCAGCUAACGCGUGAAGUUGACCGCCUGGGGAGUACGGUCGCAAGAUUAAAACUUAAAGGAA
rnacentral:rRNA from 1 species